UACGGAGGGAGCUAGCGUUAUUCGGAAUUACUGGGCGUAAAGCGCGCGUAGGCGGCUUUGUAAGUUAGAGGUGAAAGCCCGGGGCUCAACCCCGGAACUGCCUUUAAGACUGCAUCGCUUGAAUCCGGGAGAGGUGAGUGGAAUUCCGAGUGUAGAGGUGAAAUUCGUAGAUAUUCGGAAGAACACCAGUGGCGAAGGCGGCUCACUGGACCGGUAUUGACGCUGAGGUGCGAAAGCGUGGGGAGCAAACAGG
rnacentral:rRNA from 1 species